rnacentral:rRNA from 1 species
UACGGGGGGCGCAAGCGUUGUUCGGAUUUACUGGGCUUAAAGGGCGCGUAGGCGGGCCUGAAAGUCAGGGGUGAAAGCCCCCAGCUCAACUGGGGAAGUGCCUCUGAUACUUCAGGCCUCGAGGGAGGUAGGGGCGUGCGGAACUUCCGGUGGAGCGGUGAAAUGCGUAGAUAUCGGAAGGAACACCGGUGGCGAAAGCGGCGCGCUGGACCUCUUCUGACGCUGAGGCGCGAAAGCCAGGGGAGCGAACGGG